AUUGAACGCUGGCGGCAGGCUUAACACAUGCAAGUCGAGCGGGGUGAUGGUGCUUGCACUAUCACUUAGCGGCGGACGGGUGAGUAAUGCUUAGGAAUCUGCCUAUUAGUGGGGGACAACAUCUCGAAAGGGAUGCUAAUACCGCAUACGUCCUACGGGAGAAAGCAGGGGAUCACUUGUGACCUUGCGCUAAUAGAUGAGCCUAAGUCGGAUUAGCUAGUUGGUGGGGUAAAGGCCUACCAAGGCGACGAUCUGUAGCGGGUCUGAGAGGAGGAUCCGCCACACUGGGACUGAGACACGGCCCAGACUCCUACGGGAGGCAGCAGUGGGGAAUAUCGGACAAUGGGGGGAACCCUGAUCCAGCCAUGCCGCGUGUGUGAAGAAGGCCUUAUGGUUGUAAAGCACUUUAAGCGAGGAGGAGGCUCUUUUGGUUAAUACCCAAGAUGAGUGGACGUUACUCGCAGAAUAAGCACCGGCUAACUCUGUGCCAGCAGCCGCCGUAA
rnacentral:rRNA from 1 species